GACUCUCGGCAACGGAUAUCUCGGCUCUCGCAUCGAUGAAGAACGUAGCGAAAUGCGAUACCUGGUGUGAAUUGCAUAAUCCCGUGAACCAUCGAGUCUUUGAACGCAAGUUGCGCCCGAGGCCAUCCGGCUAAGGGCACGCCUGCCUGGGCGUCA
rnacentral:rRNA from 15 species